GCCUGGAGAGUCAAACUGGAAACCUCUUGCUUUGAAGCCUUUUAUCCAUGAUGCAGACCGUAGUCAGUUGCAUUCACUGCAGUUGGUACAGAGCUGGGAGGCAGAGAGGACAGAAUCUGCAUGAAUGUGGUGACUUCAGUAGACCCUAAUAGGAAGUUCAAAUAAUACAGUAUAUGUAUAACAGCAUUUCAGCCAGGGAGGAAGAAGAGAACCUGACUACCGAACCAGAAGGGAAAACUGCUACACACCACCCUGAUUAUUAGGCACAGAGAAGACAUCUUUGCCAUCCUCAUAGUAGGCAGGUUGCCGCCUGCAGCCCUAUCUGACAUCUGCUGCUACAGACCACUGUGGAUGCUGAAUUCUGGAGCUGUCUUCCCUUGCUGCCUCCUCUUUAGCUGUUCUUCUAGAUUUCCUGAACAACUCAGAGAGAUCACCUAAGGACACAGAGCCUCAUAAAUCAAAGGCUUUCAAGCAGACAGGCGCAAGAUGAGGAACUUUUGAUCAGAAACUGGUCAGACAUUCCCAGAGUGGUUGAGAGCCUGUCAAGGUCACUGCCAAGGACAAGAGAGUCAAUUAGUAUGCAGAUCAGAGGCAAGGAGUUCAAAGUGUCAAGAUGGAGAGAGCAUUUUGCUGAUCUGGGUUAUUGUCUGGGGGGCCUCACUUAGAAGAAAGUGUGAAGAUGAGAGAAGAAGGAGGAACAAAGGACAUAGUGAUGCUGG